GAGGGUAUAGCUCAGUGGUAGAGUAUUCAACUACGCAUCGAGAGGUCCCGGUUCAAACCCGGAUGCUCCCU